rnacentral:SRP_RNA from 1 species
GCUGGGCGUGGUGGUGCACGCCUGUAAUCUCAGCUACUUGGGAGGCUGAGGCAGGAGAGAAUCGCUUGAACCUGGGAGGUGGAGGUUGCAGUGAGCUGAGAUCAUGCCACUGCACUCCACCCUGGGCGACAGAACGAGACUCCAUUUAAAAAAAAAAAAAAGGACUUUAGAACACUACAUUUGGAUUGUUUGUUUGUUUGUUUGUUUUGUUUGUUUGUUUUUUGAGAUGGAGUCUCACUCUGUCGCCCAGGCUGGAGUGCAGUGGCACGACCUCGGCUCACUGCAGUCUCUGCCUCUGGGUUCAAGCGAUUCUCCUGCCUCAG